UGGCGCCCAUCGUGUUCGAGGUAUGCACUUGAUAUCAAGCUUGCUUUCGGUUGUUUUUAUGUGUUUGAUCUUGCUAACACUGAAAUUCAUACUUGGGAAGAGUAAAAAAAUAAUAAAGAAUGAGGAGCUUCUGAUAAGAUGCCACCCAUGAAACUUUGAAGCUGUGCUUUUGUAGCAGUUUGACAUUUAUAAACUCGUUCACCAGCUGGUAGUGUUUGCACAUCUGCAAGAGCAUUGUGAGCUUCAUAGGAUUUACGCAGAAGAUCUUGUGCAAGGUUUUCCUGGCUAUGGGAUUUCCUUUCAGGAAGCAAUUCCCUGAAUACUGGAAGAGAGUCUGCAAAGCCAGAAACGGUUUUAGCUAAGUCAUCCAUGACUCCAUUUUUCUCUGCUGCUUGCACCAAGAACCCUGCAUCAAAGGAUUUGCAAUUGUGUGCGACUAAAAUGCAAGGCAUUCUUGAUUUGAACCACUCAAUGAAGUUCUUCAGGGCCACAUCAAUUGCAAUGGCAUCAGAGAUUGGCUUCUCAUCAUGAAACAGCAUUCCUCUUUGGAAGGGACUGCCUCAAGCUUUUGCCUGUCAGAUCCUUGCCAUGGGGAAGGCCUCUGUGUUUGUAGGAUGCAGGAUUUUUUAAGUAGCCACACCAGUUGCCACAGGAAGAAUGGUCAUCAUAAGCAUGGGGCACGAUAGACUUCAGACCACUUCACACACCUUCUUCAUCAUCCUUAUUCUGCUUUAGUGCGUAACCAAAGCAUUGCUGGAAAUACCAUAUCACCAUAUCUGUCCAGCUUUUGUUUUGGGUCUUUAUGCUGUAUAGUGAGCUACCAAAGGAUCUUUUAGCAUGGACUACGUCUGACCAUGUUUCAACCUUGUGCUCAACAUUUUUCCUCACUUUUCUUAUUGUGGAUGAAUUAUCAUCCCCAACAAGAACAAAUACAACUGCAUUUUUUUCUCCACAACUGUUAAGCAGGGUAAAACCACAAAAAUAACAUUUUGUGCUAUAAAAAGUGAGGGUGCUCAAACUACACAUAGGCAUUAUCUUAAAGUAUUUUAUUUUCUGCGUUUUUAACAUACUCAUAUUCAAAAAUAUAGGUGCAUUUUUAUGUUUGCUUUCUUGUCAAAUUUUCAGUCAUUAUUACCAAGGGUGUAAGGUACUGUAAGACUUUCCACUGUUCAUGGUUCAAGUAUCAAUACUGUAACACUGAUAUCAUAACAACAGAUUCCACAAGUCUCUCUUUGGAGCAAUAAAACUGUGAAUUUAA